rnacentral:rRNA from 1 species
AAUCAACGCUGGCGGCGUGCCUCAGACAUGCAAGUCGAACGAUUAAAGCUCUCUUCGGAGAGUGUAUAGAGUGGCGCACGGGUGAGUAACACGUAAGUAAUCUACCCUCGAGUGGGGAAUAACAACCGGAAACGGUUGCUAAUACCGCAUAAUGCAGCGGCACCGCAAGGUGACAGUUGUUAAAGAUUUAUCGCUUGAGGAGGAGCUUGCGGCAGAUUAGCUAGUUGGUAGGGUAACGGCUUACCAAGGCUACGAUCUGUAACCGGUCUAAGAGGACGGUCGGUCACACUGACACUGAAUAACGGGUCAGACUCCUACGGGAGGCAGCAGUCGGGAAUUUUUGGGCGAAUAGGGCGGAAAGACCUGA